GUGUUUAUAGGACAUGGUUAGGUCCUUGUUCCCUCAAGAGUACUCGACGAAGUUUAUUAUUGUUUCAUGCGGAAUUUGAUUCCUUGCUAUAGACAAUGGAAUACAUGAUCUAUAUUGACGAUACUUCUGGCGCUUUUGCUUCCGACUGUUCAGAUCUGAUUUUUAUCAUUGACAAUCAAGAAGAUUGGCCGACAUUCGCAGCGGAAUUGGCAUCCUAUCGCUCCUUAGUUUGUUUUUUCCUUCUUUUCGUAUUAGAUUUCUUCUUCGUAGUUCUAAUACUCGAGCAGAUUGUUUAGCUAAGAAAGUUCGGACUCGUAAUAGCUUUUUCUCCCAUGCAAACACAUCGGUUCUUGAAUGGCUCUCUCUAGCGGAGAGUGUCUUUCCGAUAACUAAUAUAAUUGAUGUUAGAUGAAAAAAAAAAAGGUUGUGUAACUUGUGUUUAUGAAUUGAUUUCACUUUCACGUGACCAAAGUAAAACUAU
rnacentral:sRNA from 1 species